UCUCCAACUUAGAUUGGCGCAUUCUUUUUUCGAGAGCCUCUGUCACAAAUAUCCCUCCUAUUUCCUCGGAUCAUUCCCAAUCCUCCUCAACACAUACCGGGAGAAUCGUACAACAAACAUAGACGAUUCCAGUUUGGCCACGUCCAAACCCAAAUUUUGCUCAGCUCACUCGCGAAUUUGGUCUGUUCCAAGACUCUCCCCCUACUGCCUUUAAUCUGUCAAGAGCUAAUACCUUGGAGCAAAAUCUGCAUGUACUGCAAAAAAGGGAGGAAUUGCUUUGAAGGCAGAAAUCUCGCCAGACAUGGCUUACUCGCUCCGACCUCAACAUAAAUUUUUCCAUGUGUCCACCCAAUAUCAUUAAGAGAAGACACAAUGCCAUAAAAUUUCUCAAAACCCCUGGCAACUUUUGGACUUCAGAUAUCCCCACUAUAGCAGCCUGUUUUAACAGCCAUUUCACCAAUCUCUUCACUUCCAUCCAUUAACGCUUCCACAGCCUGUUUCCACCCAUCCUUUCCCACAUUGACAGUUCCAACAUCUCCACCAUUCCCACCAAUCUCGAAAUCGAAAAAGCUGUAUUCUCCGUGGGAGGUUUUGGAAGACCAUCGAGGAGGACACAAUCACAGCGGUUCGGAGCUUCUUCGGAGAGAAUUUCUGCAGGUUUAUCCAACAAGCUUUGUUCUUCGAAUCUGGCUUUUCUACUUCGAUGUUGCUGUUCAGUCCUCUCGCUCCUGUACUUCAGCUAUUUGCUGCGAUCAAAGAGUAUCUGCUUUUGAUUGGAGAUUCCAAAGGUACCGUCAAUGGACUUCUUUCCCCUGGCCUCUUCCAACAUCCUGCUUGUUCUUCCCUUAUCUCUGUAAUGCUGCAGGACUUGGCUCUAUUUUCUUCUUGGUCUGCUUUGUAUUCUCCUGGGGCCGAAAACUUUAUUGCCCAUAAUAUUGCCCGAUGGGCCUCCUUUUGUAACACUAUUGCCAUCUUUUCCAUUCCCCCGGAUGUUCUUGUUUGGGAAGGGGAGAUGUAAUACGGACCAUCCUUUGUUCUUCAAUAUCAGUUAUAUCGUUUCUAGCCAAAAAAAAAAAAAUCAGAUACAUAUAUAUCUUCAUACAUUAUUGUAUCCGACCUAUAGCAAACA